GAUGAACGCUGGCGGCGUGCCUAAUACAUGCAAGUCGAGCGAACAGACGAGGAGCUUGCUCCUCUGACGUUAGCGGCGGACGGGUGAGUAACACGUGGAUAACCUACCUAUAAGACUGGGAUAACUUCGGGAAACCGGAGCUAAUACCGGAUAAGAUAUUGAACCGCAUGGUUCAAUAGUGAAAGACGGUUUUGCUGUCACUUAUAGAUGGAUCCGCGCCGCAUUAGCUAGUUGGUAAGGUAACGGCUUACCAAGGCAACGAUGCGUAGCCGACCUGAGAGGGUGAUCGGCCACACUAGAACUGAGACACGGUCCAGACUCCUACGGGAGGCAGCAGUAGGGAAUCUUCCGCAAAGGGCGAAAGCCUGACGGAGCAACGCCGCGUGAGUGAUGGAGGUCUUCGGAUCGUAAAACUCUGUUAUUAGGGAAGAACAAAUGUGUAAGUAACUAUGCACGUCUUGACGGUACCUAAUCAGAAAGCCACGGCUAACUACGUG
rnacentral:rRNA from 1 species